rnacentral:misc_RNA from 1 species
GUAGGUGAACCUGCGGAAGGAUCAUUAACACGUAUACACUACGUAUCAAACCAAACCCCCCCGUUGAACUAAACCCGCCCUGUGUGUGUGGUGACUCAUGCAUAGACUGUCCAUAGCAUCCAUGGAGAUGUAUUGCUUCGGUGAUACAUCGAUGUCUCGACAGCCGUCUGAUGGACUUGUCCAUUGGGUGCAUUUCAUACAUACAGGCUUUUCUACAAUCUCCUUCUCUAUACCUAUCCAGACCAUUUUCUCAUGGGGGCUGGAUGGGACAAGAGUUGGGGGUGAACAAACUACUUUCACACUAUCAUACCUAUUUGACUGAUCUAUAUUCACGAGGUGGGUGUAACAGCCUUUCUCUGAUGAAUCUAAGUUUAUCUAAACUAAGCACAACUCUUAGCAAUGGAUAUCUUGGUUCUC